rnacentral:rRNA from 1 species
AUUGAACGCUGGCGGCAUGCCUUACACAUGCAAGUCGAACGGUAACAGGUCUUCGGAUGCUGACGAGUGGCGAACGGGUGAGUAAUACAUCGGAACGUGCCCGAGAGUGGGGGAUAACGAAGCGAAAGCUUUGCUAAUACCGCAUACGAUCUCAGGAUGAAAGCAGGGGACCGCAAGGCCUUGCGCCCACGGAGCGGCCGAUGGCAGAUUAGGUAGUUGGUGGGAUAAAAGCUUACCAAGCCGACGAUCUGUAGCUGGUCUGAGAGGACGACCAGCCACACUGGGACUGAGACACGGCCCAGACUCCUACGGGAGGCAGCAGUGGGGAAUUUUGGACAAUGGGCGCAAGCCUGAUCCAGCCAUGCCGCGUGCAGGAUGAAGGCCUUCGGGUUGUAAACUGCUUUUGUACGGAACGAAAAGCCCUGGGUUAAUACCCUGGGGUCAUGACGGUACCGUAAGAAUAAGCACCGGCUAACUACGUGCCAGCCGCCGCAGUAACAC